rnacentral:lncRNA from 1 species
CCCAGAGCACUGACUAUCCCCAGUCACAGAGCCCAGAGCACUGACUAUCCCCAAUCACAGAGCCCAGAGCACUGACUAUCCCCAGUCACAGAGCCCAGAGCACUGACUAUCCCCAGUCACAGAGCCCAGAGCACUGACUAUCCCCAGUCACAGAGCCAAGAGCACUGACUAUCCCCAGUCACAGAGCCCAGAGCACUGACUAUCCCCAAUCACAGAGCCCAGAGCACUGACUAUCCCCAGUCACAGAGCCCAGAGCACUGACUAUCCCCAAUCACAGAGCCCAGAGCACUGACUAUCCCCAGUCACAGAGCCCAGAGCACUGACUAUCCCCAAUCACAGAGCCCAGAGCACUGACUAUCCCCAGUCACAGAGCCCAGAGCACUGACUAUCCCCAGUCACAGAGCCCAGAGCACUGACUAUCUCCAGUCACAGAGCCCAGAGCACUGACUAUCCCCAAUCACAGAGCCCAGAGCACUGACUAUCCCCAGUCACAGAGCCCAGAGCACUGACUAUCCCCAAUCACAGAGCCCAGAGCACUGACUAUCCCCAGUCACAGAGCCCAGAGCACUGACUAUCCCCAGUCACAGAGCCCAGAGCACUGACUAUCCCCAAUCACAGAGCCCAGAGCACUGACUAUCCCCAGUCACAGAGCCCAGAGCACUGACUAUCCCCAGUCACAGAGCCCAGAGCACUGACUAUCCCCAAUCACACAAAAUAUACAGAACCAGAUCACAUACUGAGCUCCAGAAGAAUGAAGGGAUUCCUAAGAGUUGAAGAGUUCUGAGCAAUUUGCUAAGUGAGGCAGGAAUCAAUAAUUCAAAGCUGUACCGGUCCGGAAACUCAGAAUCAGGCCUCUAUUCCCCAGGGCAAGUGUCAUGGGAAAAAUAAUAUCUAGGACAAAGAUGCACAGAAACCAGUAAAGUGUAGCCAAGGUAUUUGUUACAGGGCAAGUUAUACCUUUGAAUGCAUUUCUUAGAAGCCAGGAAGGUAAAGACAGGAGGGUUGCAGAGGGUUCCAGGCCAGCCUGUGCUACAUGGUCAGACUUUGUUUCAAAAAAGCUUAACAAAAAAAAAAAAAAAAAAAAAAGGACAAGGUAGAACUACCACAUAAAUGGUACACUUGUUAAGUGUCAAUUUUAAAAGGAGUGAAAAGCAUAGUGAAUUGAAGACAGAAAACAGGAUAACUAAAGGCAUUGUCAGCUGUGGGGGAGGAACAAUAACUGGGAUUAACAGUUGUUUUUUUUAAAGAAGGGUUUUUGACUUGGUUCAGUGGGUGUUUGGCUUAUUUUCCAUUGCUAUGCUAAAACACUGUGACCAGAAGCAGCUUGUGGAGGUGUGGCAGCUUGAGAGAAAAUGGCCCCCAAAGGGAGUGGCGCUAAUGAGAGCACCAUGUCUGCCUGCAGGCUGCCGUGUCCCACCAUGAUGAUAGCGGACUGAACCUCUGAACUGAUGCUCUGAGCUGCAGUGAUGGGGAUGUCAUGGUGAUGAAGAAGAGGAAGAAGGAGAAGGGGAGAGGAAGGAGAAGGAGAAGGAGAAGAAGAAGAAGAAGAAGAAGAAGAAGAAGAAGAAGAAGAAGAAGAAGAAGAAGAAGAAGAAGAAGAAGAAGAAGAAGAAAUAAUUAGCUAAACUGUUUUAAAAAUAGUCUGUUACCUCUCUAGCAACAAGAGGCACCAAAGUAAUGUAACUCAAGGACUUGUGUUAAAGUCAUCAAAGCCAAGUUUCUUUCUGUCCUCAGUGCAUUAUCUUAGUCUGUACACCAGUUCUCCUCUGAGACACAAGAUGGCUACAGAAGGUCCAGAUCUCACAUCAUUACCGCUAUGGUCGAUACCAGAAAAGGGCUCUUUUUUUUUUUUUUCAUUCUGCUUUCCUAUUUUUGUCAUAGAAUCAAAAAAUAAAGAAAAGAAAAUCCUCUUUCCUUAAAAUCUGUCCCCUGAGCCCUUCCCUUGCAUGUCUUCCGCUUCCAUGGAUCUGACAUUCACAUCUAACCCUGUCACUGGCUAGAAAAGGGGCCACCAUUUCCACAGAAGCUGAAUCUGGGUCCUCUCCAAAACUGGGUAGACCAGUCUCCCCUGAAAUGUGUGACUGAGUAAUGAAAGACGGAGGUUAUCAAAAUAACUUCAAGAGAGGCAGUUGACCAUGGUAGGGUCAACAUUUUGUGAAAAUCGAAAACAGUGGAUUCAUUCUUUGGGGAAAAAUUGUGAAAUACCAAAGUAAGUACAAGGCAAAUAAAAUGGAUUAACACAUUCUUUGCUUC